rnacentral:rRNA from 1 species
UACGAAGGGGGGCUAGCGUUGCUCGGAAUUACUGGGCGUAAAGCGCACGUAGGCGGUCGUUUUAAGUUUGGUGUGAAAUCUCCCCGGCUCAACUGGGAGGGUGCGCCGAAUACUGAAUGACUAGAGUGCGGGAGAGGAUAGUGGAAUUCCUGGUGUAGCGGUGAAAUGCGCAGAUAUCGGGAAGAACACCCGUGGCGAAGGCGGCUCUCUGGGACGGUACUGACGCUGAGACGCGAAAGCGUGGGGAGCGAACAGG